UGUGGUUAAUUCGAAGCAACGCGAAGAACCUUACCUGGGUUUGACAUCCCGAUCGCAUCUGUGGAAACACGAGAGUCAGUUCGGCUGGAUCGGAGACAGGUGCUGCAUGGCUGUCGUCAGCUCGUGUCGUGAGAUGUUGGGUUAAGUCCCGCAACGAGCGCAACCCUUGUCCUUAGUUGCCAUCAUUUAGUUGGGCACUCUAAGGAGACUGCCGGUGUUAAACCGGAGGAAGGUGGGGAUGACGUCAAGUCCUCAUGGCCCUUAUGUCCAGGGCUACACACGUGCUACAAUGGUUGGUACAACGAGUUGCGAGUCGGUGACGGCGAGCUAAUCUCUUAAAGCCAAUCUCAGUUCGGAUUGUAGGCUGCAACUCGCCUACAUGAAGUCGGAAUCGCUAGUAAUCGCGGAUCAGCACGCCGCGGUGAAUACGUUCCCGGGCCUU
rnacentral:rRNA from 1 species